rnacentral:lncRNA from 1 species
ACAGGCAGGCGGGAAGGUCGGGGCUGAUGUGGCAUCUUUUCCCCUUGCUGAGUGCAGAGCGAGGCCAGCCCUGUGAGACAAAGCAGCUUAUCUAAGGCCACCGGGUGUCGGGCUUGCAAGGAGCUGUCUCUGGGCUCUCACGAGGACCUCCCGGCGCAUGCCAGCCCCUCAUGCUUGCACUGCACUCGAUAUUUCAAAGCACUGUGUCAUCUGAAGCUAACUUCGAGGGGCUGUGGCAGCAGGGGCACUAACCUCAUUUCCCUGGUGGGCGAAACUGAGGCCCAACACCGUGACCAUAAUUCUCUGCUAAGCCCUGUAUCCUGGCCCUGUUCAUCAGCCCGGUCUGAUGAGGAAGGCCCCACUGAAGAGCCACACUCUGGUGAGGACCCCUCAAGACUUAGCAGCUAUUCCUUAAUUCCUGUAUUCAUUUCACAAAAUGUUUCAGGUGCCUGCCCUGUGACCCAGUGGGAUGCAGCAGUGAGCAGUUUCUACAGCUUCCCCCGCGCUGGCCCAUCUCAGUGCAGAAACGGGGUCAUUGCUGUCACAAGUUAG